rnacentral:snoRNA from 1 species
GUCCAAGAUGAUCUCCUCUUCUAAGGGACCAACUAGUGCCCCUCUCAGGAAAGUAGCAGCUUGGAAUAGAAAUGGGCUGCCCAAGAUGUCUUUGGGUGAAAGGAAUGUUCAUCUCCUUUGGCAGCCUACAUAG